rnacentral:rRNA from 1 species
CCCUUAGGCGUUCUGGGCCGCACGCGCGCUACACUGACCAGUGCAACAAGCAUCCGUCCUUGGCCGACAGGCCCGGGCAAUCUUUGAACGCUGGUCGUGAUGGGGAUAGACUUUUGCAAUUUUUGGUCUUCAACGAGGAAUUCCUAGUAAACGCAAGUCAUCAACUUGCAUUGAUUACGUCCCUGCCCUUUGUACACACCGCCCGUCGCACCUACCGAUUGAAUGGUCCGGUGAAGCCUCCGGAUUGGCGCGCACCUCGGUGCCGCCGAGAAGUUGGCUAAACCUUACCAUUUAGAGGAAGGUGAAGUCGUAACA